CCUACGGGAGGCAGCAGUAAGGAAUAUUGGUCAAUGGGGGCAACCCUGAACCAGCCAUGCCGCGUGCAGGAAGACGGCCCUACGGGUUGUAAACUGCUUUUAUACGGGAAUAAACCCCAGGUCGUGACCUGGGUUGAAUGUACUGUAAGAAUAAGGAUCGGCUAACUCCGUGCCAGCAGCCGCGGUAAUACGGAGGAUCCAAGCGUUAUCCGGAUUUAUUGGGUUUAAAGGGUGCGUAGGCGGCCUAUUAAGUCAGGGGUGAAAGACGGUGGCUCAACCAUCGCAGUGCCUUUGAUACUGAUAGGCUUGAUUACACUUGAGGUAGGCGGAAUGUGACAAGUAGCGGUGAAAUGCAUAGAUAUGUCACAGAACACCAAUUGCGAAGGCAGCUUACUAAGGUGUUAAUGACGCUGAGGCACGAAAGCGUGGGGAUCAAACAGGAUUAGAUACCCUGGUAGUCCACGCCCUAAACGAUGAAUACUCGAUGUUAGCGAUAUACAGUUAGCGUCAAAGCGAAAGCGUUAAGUAUUCCACCUGGGGAGUACGCCCGCAAGGGUGAAACUCAAAGGAAUUGACGGA
rnacentral:rRNA from 1 species